rnacentral:tRNA from 1 species
GGCUGCCGUACUAGUGGCUAUGGCGCCCGGCUGCUAACCGGAUUGGGGAUCACCCCUCGCAGGUUCGAGUCCUGUCGUAUCCGC